CGACCGUCUGUUAACAUCAAUCUGAGCCGAGUAAUAUAACUAUAGAAUAACUAUAAAUUCAAGUUUUGACGCCCGUGCUAUUUUUUUGAAGAUUACCUUUUUUCUUUUCAAAACUUAAUUGUUAACGUAAAUUUUUGAAUGAAGAACCUAAAUGAAGUCAGUUGUACCCAUUAUAUGGUUAAUCUGCCAUGGGCAAGCUAACGUUAAGCAAUUCAUAAGCAUCUGCCAUGGGCAAGCUAACGUUAAGAAAAUCAUAAGCCGCUGCCACGGGCAACUUAUCUUUAAUUGCAUUUUGGUACGUAUUUGAGAAUGAAGUAUAAAAUGAAGUAAAUUUGUUUGCGAAUUGGGACACCUGAAGUAACUGUGCAUCAUUAAUAAGGGCAUUGGCCACAAACGCAAAGCGAGCCUAUGCAAGGUUGGGUGGGUUCUGAAGAGGAAUUAAAUGACAUCUGCAAUUCCUCACAUUUAAUGUAAAAUUAGAUUCUUUGAGCUUUGGUUUAGUUUGUCAAUAGUUCCUACUCUGUCUACUAUUUAAGUUUAUGUGACGGCGCGGUUCUCUAGGUAGCAAAACCCCACUCCCAUGUUCCCUGAGCACAGCCGACUGGCAGAGUACGCUGCCAGAUAGCCGCACACAUGGUCGUGUUCGUUACAUAUUCUUUGGCGCCCAACGUCGGGGCGAUCAGAAAUCAGGAAAAUACCGUAUCUUGAGAAUAUAAUAGAGUUAAUUUUUCGUGUCGCUACCCAAUGCAAUAUUCUAAAGAAAAAUCCAAUUUUUUUUUGUAUGGUUUCCUAAUUUGAGCCUUAAUGUGAUAGUUUGGAAUUCAGACAUCGCGCGUUCUUGCAGGUGCUGAACCUAGAUUAUGUUAUCGCUCAAUCCUAAUUCCCAUAUCAACAAUAAAUGAAUUGCUUCGGUAUGUGAGAUUUGGGGAAAAGCUCGAAUUCGCACCAGGCAACAUUAUUCUUUUAAUAAUCACAUUUGAUUCACCUAAGAAAAGUCAUUUGAGAUUUACUUUGUUGGAAAUUUCUAGCAAGUACUCAUGAUUAUAUUUUUAGAGAUCAAACAUUAAGUCUUACUGCUUUGAGAUUUGUUUAGCUAAAUAGUUUUUGGAAAGACACUCAGCAGUAAUGCACUUGCUUUCCUAACAUUAAAAGACUUUUGCCCAACAGAAACCCUAAUUUUAUAUUAAUAUUUAUUCGAUGCACGGUAACUAAAGGAUAGUCUCAAUUUUAAAUCAGAGUUUUUAUAUUUACAAUAUUUGAGAAAAUAUUUUAAUACUACAACAUGUCAGUUCAGCCUAAUCGAGUCGAGGUUGCAGUCACCGAUAGUGGGGAUGAACGUUCUCUUUGUAUUAUUUGCAUAGUAUCAUUAUGGUAAUAGAUACUGAACUUGCAGAAACCCCUUGUAGACAUAAAUUUCACAGAACAUGCGUGGUACUGUGGUUAGGAACUAAUGAAACUUGUCCGCUUUGCCGAAGUGCUUGUACCCUGGUACAACUGAUAACCUUUCCUGCUGCUCAACCGAAUAGGUCUACUAAUGAUACUAAUAGGGAAGUUCGAGGUGCUUCUGCCAAUCAAGCUACGGGAGCCGUUAACCGAACACAAGAGCGAAUUCCAAUCAGAACUUAACGAAUCAGAGAGCACAGUCUAGCUUGAGAAGCAUUUCCGAAACUCGAGUACAGCAGUUAAUCACCGACUCCUUAGAAACCUUUCAAGUUAGCAUGGUUGCAGCAGUAGCGGAUGAGAUCAGUAAUACGAUGCGAAACCUUCAGUUGACUAAUAAUUCCCAAAAUCCGCGAAAUCACAUCCUUGUAGAAAAUCCUGGAAACUUAAAUCGAUCCAAUGCAAGCAGAGUUGAUAGUAAUCAAGGCUCUAGUAUACGAUUGCCUUAAGGUGAUCCUGUGACACAAGCCUUAUAUCGUCCUGACAAAGUUUCAAGCGUUAUUUCUAAUUGGAACGUGAAAUUCACUGGCAUGGCAAGUGACAUACCUGUUGAAGACUUUAUCUAUAGGAUAAAUAGUUUGACUAUACAAUGUCUAAACGCAAACUCUAAUUUGCUAUACCAAUUUGCCAACGUACUAUUUGCCGGACCAGCUUUACAAUUUUAUUGGCGUUUUCAGAGAACUUCAAGUGAACCGAAUUGGUUUCACCUGUGUACAAGUCUCCGUGAACGGUAUAGAGAAGCGCACUGACGAAGAGAUUAAAGACUCUUUUCGACAUAGGAAGCAGAAAAGCGCGGAAAAUUUUGACGAUUUUCUAGAUGCUAUCCUAACGAUUGCAGAUGCUUUGCGUGAGCCUAUGUCCGACAGUGAACUAGUUACCAACGUUAAAAAGAACCUUAAACCUGAAUUACGACUAGAAUUAUUACAUGUUUUGACCCCAAACAUUGCCUCCUUAAGAGCAGAGUGCCACAAUCACGAACGAUUUCUCAUUAGCAUGGCAGGUAGGUCGGCAGCCCGUCCUCCUCCAAACCGGCGAUUUGUAAAUGAGCUAGUGCAGGUUGAAGAGUCUAGGGAAGAAGAGAAUUAUCAAACUAUGAGCGACGUAGAAAUAAAUGCGAUGCGCAAUGCUGAGCGUUAUAAAUGUUGGAAUUGUGAGGAAACCGGAAAAAGAUAUCAUGAUUGCCUCAAAGCCAGACGCAUAUUUUGCUAUGGGUGUGGUCCUCCUGACACUUAUAAGCCUAGUUGCUUGAAAUGUAAUCCCCCGUCGGAAAACUCGUAAGAGGAUGUCCAUCAAUUCUGACUGGUGGAUAACCUAUUUCAAAAUCAGCAUCAAUAACAGGUACUAAUAAUCUUCUAAUUUAAGUAACUCUCAACCUGACUCGACAACAUCUAACCCAGAUUUAGACAAACCCAACUGUAUGUUAAUUAAAAACACUACAGAGCCGUCAUAAACCUUUAAAUUUAUCCCCUACCAUGAAAGAGUACGCAACUAUUAUCAACGCAGAGCGGAAAUAUUUACACUACGAAUUAAUUCUGCCAACAAAUCUCGAUCAGCUAAUCGAAUGUGUUCAUUUUGGAAACAGCAGCGAAGAAUGAAGAAGUAUGUCGUAUCCUCUAUUGUUAGGCAGGACAAUGACAACCGUCCUUACAUCGCUUUGGAAUUAUUUAACAAAACCUUGGCCUUGCUUGAUAGUUGAGCUAACAAAUGCGUAGUAGGUGGUAAAUUGGCUAAACUUAUUCUUACAGAUCAUCCAGGGUUAAGGAAGUUAAAAUGUUAUGUUCGUACAGCCGAUGGACAAAAUCAAAACGUCACCGCUACCAUUGUCGUUCCGAUUCACUAUAACUCCUUAUCUCAGGAUGUAGAAUUUUUAAUAGUACCCAGUAUUAAACAAGAUAUAAUCUGCGGAAUGGAUUUUUGGAAAUUAUUUGGUCUUCGAAUAUCCAGUACAACGACUAUUUCCGAAAUUUCUGACUCCAAUGAUUUAGGUGACAGAGUCUUGCUUAAUGCAACCGAUCGAAACCGAUUACAAGCUGUUAUCGAAUUCUUUCCAUCGUCUGAAAAAAGUGGUUUAGGAAAAACAACCCUAAUUCAACAUCAUAUUGACACCGGUGCAGCAAAAGCAAUUAAGCAAAGAUAUUACAACUUAUCUUUAUCCAAAGAGCUUCAGUUAUGCCAAGAAGUAGACCGCAUGAUUAGUCUGGGAGUACUAGAAGAAGCGCCCGCGUCCACUUCUCCGGCAGUCUUGGUCGUAAAAUCAGGCAAAGUGAGAAUUUGCUUAGAUUCCAGGAAGCUUAAUUCUGUUACAGUAAAGGAUGCUUAUCCUACUCCUCUUAUUGAAGGUCUACUAAGUCGCUUACCUUCAGUACACUGCAUAUCGAAAAUUGAUUUAAAAGAUGUGUUUUGGCAGAUAUGUCUAGACGAAGAAUCGAAACCAAAAACCGCAAUAACCAUACCCAACCGUCCUUUAUAUCAAUUUACACGAAUGCCUUUCGGACUUAUGGAUAAAGUAAUACCUUAUAGAAUGAAAUCACACGUGAUGGUAUAUUUAGAUGACCUAUUAGUCAUGUCUUCAAGUUUCGAAGAGCAUUUUUCUCAUCUGGCCGAAGUCGCUACGCAACUUCGAAAGGCAGGUCUUACUAUUAAUAUCGCCAAAAGUCAGUUUUGCUUAAAGAAAAUCGACUAUUUAGGUUACAUUGUUGGAGAGGGAACUUUGCAAGUGAAUCCCAAUAAAAUAGACGCCGUGUCCAACUUUCCUGUUCCAAAAACCAAACGUCAACUUAAGAGAUUUCUCGGGAUGACCGGUUGGUAUCAACGGUUUAUUAACCAAUAUUCGGAACAAACCUUCCACCUAACCGAUUUGUUGCGAGGAAAUGAAUUUCACUGGAAUGAUAACGCCCAAGUUGCUUUUGAACAAUUGAAAAAGGCUCUGACCACUGCUCCAUUAAUAGUACAUCCCAAUUACGAAAAACCGUUUAUAGUGCAGUGUGAUGCCUCGAUCAAUGGUGUUGGUGCGCUUCUAGCUCAAUGUGAUGAAAACGGAAUAGAACGCCCUAUUGCAUAUAUGUCUAAGAAGCUUAAUAGAUCUCAAAGGAAUUACUCUACGACGGAACUUGAAUGCUUAGCAGUAGUUCUAGCUAUUAAAAGAUUUCGAAUGUAUAUUGAAGGUCAUGAAUUUACUAUUGUGACUGAUCAUGCAAGUCUCCGAUGGCUCAUGACGCAGCAAGACCUUCAAGGAAGAUUUGCUCGGUGGGCACUCAAACUUCAAGGAUUUAAUUUUAGCAUAGAACAUCGUCGAGGUAGUGAAAAUGUAGUAGCCGAUGCCAUUUCAAGAUCUUUUGAAUCAGAUGAAGGCCUUGCCACUAUUGAUAUCGAUGUUCUCCCAGAAAUUGAUUUGGAAUCCGAAUUCUUUCAAUCAUCCAGCUAUUCGCAACUUAAAGAAAAGUUAACGCAGUCUCAACUACCGGAUUUUCAAGUAAUAGAUGGUUUUCUUUAUCACAGGGUUGGUUUCUCUUACAGUUCCUCCGACCAUCCGAAAGACUCCUGGAAGCUUGUGGUUCCGGUCGAGCUUAGAGAAGGUGUAAUCAAGGCAGCUCACGAUCAGCCGUCUUCUUCUCAUUGCGGUGUAGCCAAAUGUUUGGCAAAUAUUCGAAGAAAGUUUAACUGGCCGCGUAUGGUUGUAGACGUUCGCAAUUACAUCAAAAACUGUGAGAUUUGUAGGACAUCAAAAUACCCCAUGCAGAAACUUAAACCACCCAUAGGAUAACAAAUUGUUAACGAACGAGUAUUUCAAAGGGACUUUAUUGGUCCCUUCCCAAGGACGAAAAGAUGUAAUAUAGGAAUCUUUAUAGUACUCGAUCAUCUAUCGAAAUUCACGUUUCUUAAACCGGUAAAGAAGUUUACAAGUCAAGUCGUCGUGUCAUACCUGAAAGAGGAAAUUUUUUAUUGUUACGAAACGCCUGAGGUUAUAGUAAGCGAUAAUGGUUCGCAAUUCAAAAGUCAGGAAUUUUCUUCUUUUCUUUCUAAGCAUUGCAUUACCCACACUUGCACCGCAGCCUAUUCGCCGCAGUCCAAUGCCGCAGAAAGAGUUAAUAGGUCUUUUAAUGCUGCAUUGAGAGCCUAUACCCGAUCCGAUCAGAGAGAAUGGGAUAGAUAUCUUAGUAGUAUAACCUGUUCUCUGCGUCGACAUAUGCACCAGUCAAUAGCUGAAUCUCCAUUCUUUGUUGUUUUCGGGCAGCAUAUGAUUUGUCACGGAAAAGAUUAUAAAUUACUCAAAAAUCUAAAUUUGCUUAAUGAAAGUUCCUUACGACUAAACCGACAAGACCAAUUCUCUACGUUACGAUUUGACCUCCAAAAGCAAUUAGACAAAGCUUAUAAAAAGAAUGAGCAAUCCUAUAACCUCCGAUCUAGGCCUCGAUCUUUUCAGGUAGGAGACGAGGUAAUUAAACGAAACUUCGCCCUUAGCAAUGCCGCCGCCCACUUCAAUGCUAAGCUUGCACCGGUAGGAAUAAAGGUCCGUGUCAAGCAAAGACUGGGAAACUCUCUCUAUUUACUUAGGGAUUUAAACGGAAAGGAAUUAGGAACAUAUCAUGCAAAGGAUAUUUGGUAACAGUAGACACCCUUUUUCAGGUUUUAUCUCUGUCGUGAAGACUAAAGAUUAAUCCUGUGCUGUAGGGGUGUGAAAUUAUUAGGAAAAGAUUCCUGUAUUUUUUUUUUAAUAUAAAAUAUCGCUAAUGGUUCCGCAACCUGGUGGCAACCACACAUCCUAGAAAAUACUAAACGAUAAUUUCGUAUUUUCUAACACUGCUUGUCAGAGGGCUUGCACCCGCCAUUUGCGUUUUUUCGUUCUCUUAUUUCUGAUCUUUCGGCCGAAGCACACGCGUUUUAAAUCAAAUCGUAUUUUGCAAAGAAGUGCUAAGUCCACGUGUGUAUAUAUAUUAUUAAGGUUAUUAAGCCCGAGGUGGUGCAUAGGGCUUAAUAACCGCCCAACAAGACAAACCGACUAAUAAGUGAAGCACCACAAAGCUAAUUUCAAACGCCCAAAGUGGCUGGCGAAAUUUAGCUGCCACCGAUCGCAACAUCCAACUUAUAGUUGAAAAACUAAUUAGGAGUGCGCAGCGCCACUUGAUCAAAUCGCCUGGUGCUCGUUUUGGCCCACUCUGGCUGCCAACACGUGGAGCGGGACCACUCGAGCCGAGCCACAUACAGUUUACCAGUGCAAAUUUAAGUUUCGAGCCAAGCAUUCCAACCGUUGUAAGACGUAAGGAAAACUUAAGUUCCUAGAUUGAUACACGUGUUGUUCGCCAUAUUCUCCUGACCAGUUGCGAGUAACCUAACCCCGGACUGAUGGUUAGCCAUCGACACGUCCAACACGAGCGUAUAGCGGAUAAGCAGACACCCUAGACUCUUGUUCUAACUGUUGAAUCUGCCGCCUCGCAGCUAAGGAUUCACUCCCGAUCUCAGCAGCCGAUCUGACUGUUGCAUUGCUUUUGUAGUUGUUAGAAUAAAUUUAAAUUUUAUAGAAAUUAAGCUUAUUAUACGGUUCACUCAGCAUACACGCAUCCUCGUUUACACACACCGUCCACAGGCCUGUCGACUGCACUGGAAACAAAUUUAAAGUAUUAAUGUUGUAAGUACGGCAUAGCCGACCGUCUGUUAACAUCAAUCUGAGCCGAGUAAUAUAACUAUAGAAUAACUAUAAAUUCAAGUUUUGACGCCCGUGCUAUUUUUUUGAAGAUUACCUUUUUUCUUUUCAAAACUUAAUUGUUAACGUAAAUUUUUGAAUGAAGAACCUAAAUGAAGUCAGUUGUACCCAUUAUAUGGUUAAUCUGCCAUGGGCAAGCUAACGUUAAGCAAUUCAUAAGCAUCUGCCAUGGGCAAGCUAACGUUAAGAAAAUCAUAAGCCGCUGCCACGGGCAACUUAUCUUUAAUUGCAUUUUGGUACGUAUUUGAGAAUGAAGUAUAAAAUGAAGUAAAUUUGUUUGCGAAUUGGGACACCUGAAGUAACUGUGCAUCAUUAAUAAGGGCAUUGGCCACAAACGCAAAGCGAGCCUAUGCAAGGUUGGGUGGGUUCUGAAGAGGAAUUAAAUGACAUCUGCAAUUCCUCACAUUUAAUGUAAAAUUAGAUUCUUUGAGCUUUGGUUUAGUUUGUCAAUAGUUCCUACUCUGUCUACUAUUUAAGUUUAUGUGACGGCGCGGUUCUCUAGGUAGCAAAACCCCACUCCCAUGUUCCCUGAGCACAGCCGACUGGCAGAGUACGCUGCCAGAUAGCCGCACACAUGGUCGUGUUCGUUACAUAUUCUUUGGCGCCCAACGUCGGGGCGAUCAGAAAUCAGGAAAAUACCGUAUCUUGAGAAUAUAAUAGAGUUAAUUUUUCGUGUCGCUACCCAAUGCAAUAUUCUAAAGAAAAAUCCAAUUUUUUUUUGUAUAGUUUCCUAAUUUGAGCCUUAAUGUGAUAGUUUGGAAUUCAGACAUCGCGCGUUCUUGCAGGUGCUGAACCUAGAUUAUGUUAUCGCUCAAUCCUAAUUCCCAUAUCAACAAUAAAUGAAUUGCUUCGGUAUGUGAGAUUUGGGGAAAAGCUCGAAUUCGCACCAGGCAACAUUAUUCUUUUAAUAAUCACAUUUGAUUCACCUAAGAAAAGUCAUUUGAGAUUUACUUUGUUGGAAAUUUCUAGCAAGUACUCAUGAUUAUAUUUUUAGAGAUCAAACAUUAAGUCUUACUGCUUUGAGAUUUGUUUAGCUAAAUAGUUUUUGGAAAGACACUCAGCAGUAAUGCACUUGCUUUCCUAACAUUAAAAGACUUUUGCCCAACAGAAACCCUAAUUUUAUAUUAAUAUUUAUUCGAUGCACGGUAACUAAAGGAUAGUCUCAAUUUUAAAUCAGAGUUUUUAUAUUUACAAUAUUUGAGAAAAUAUUUUAAUACUACAACAUGUCAGUUCAGCCUAAUCGAGACGAGGUUGCAGUCACCGAUAGUGGGGAUGAACGUUCUCUUUGUAUUAUUUGCAUAGUAUCAUUAUGGUAAUAGAUACUGAACUUGCAGAAACCCCUUGUAGACAUAAAUUUCACAGAACAUGCGUGGUACUGUGGUUAGGAACUAAUGAAACUUGUCCGCUUUGCCGAAGUGCUUGUACCCUGGUACAACUGAUAACCUUUCCUGCUGCUCAACCGAAUAGGUCUACUAAUGAUACUAAUAGGGAAGUUCGAGGUGCUUCUGCCAAUCAAGCUACGGGAGCCGUUAACCGAACACAAGAGCGAAUUCCAAUCAGAACUUAACGAAUCAGAGAGCACAGUCUAGCUUGAGAAGCAUUUCCGAAACUCGAGUACAGCAGUUAAUCACCGACUCCUUAGAAACCUUUCAAGUUAGCAUGGUUGCAGCAGUAGCGGAUGAGAUCAGUAAUACGAUGCGAAACCUUCAGUUGACUAAUAAUUCCCAAAAUCCGCGAAAUCACAUCCUUGUAGAAAAUCCUGGAAACUUAAAUCGAUCCAAUGCAAGCAGAGUUGAUAGUAAUCAAGGCUCUAGUAUACGAUUGCCUUAAGGUGAUCCUGUGACACAAGCCUUAUAUCGUCCUGACAAAGUUUCAAGCGUUAUUUCUAAUUGGAACGUGAAAUUCACUGGCAUGGCAAGUGACAUACCUGUUGAAGACUUUAUCUAUAGGAUAAAUAGUUUGACUAUACAAUGUCUAAACGCAAACUCUAAUUUGCUAUACCAAUUUGCCAACGUACUAUUUGCCGGACCAGCUUUACAAUUUUAUUGGCGUUUUCAGAGAACUUCAAGUGAACCGAAUUGGUUUCACCUGUGUACAAGUCUCCGUGAACGGUAUAGAGAAGCGCACUGACGAAGAGAUUAAAGACUCUUUUCGACUUAGGAAGCAGAAAAGCGCGGAAAAUUUUGACGAUUUUCUAGAUGCUAUCCUAACGAUUGCAGAUGCUUUGCGUGAGCCUAUGUCCGACAGUGAACUAGUUACCAACGUUAAAAAGAACCUUAAACCUGAAUUACGACUAGAAUUAUUACAUGUUUUGACCCCAAACAUUGCCUCCUUAAGAGCAGAGUGCCACAAUCACGAACGAUUUCUCAUUAGCAUGGCAGGUAGGUCGGCAGCCCGUCCUCCUCCAAACCGGCGAUUUGUAAAUGAGCUAGUGCAGGUUGAAGAGUCUAGGGAAGAAGAGAAUUAUCAAACUAUGAGCGACGUAGAAAUAAAUGCGAUGCGCAAUGCUGAGCGUUAUAAAUGUUGGAAUUGUGAGGAAACCGGAAAAAGAUAUCAUGAUUGCCUCAAAGCCAGACGCAUAUUUUGCUAUGGGUGUGGUCCUCCUGACACUUAUAAGCCUAGUUGCUUGAAAUGUAAUCCCCCGUCGGAAAACUCGUAAGAGGAUGUCCAUCAAUUCUGACUGGUGGAUAUCCUAUUUCAAAAUCACCAUCAAUAACAGGUACUAAUAAUCUUCUAAUUUAAGUAACUCUCAACCUGACUCGACAACAUCUAACCCAGAUUUAGACAAACCCAACUGUAUGUUAAUUAAAAACACUACAGAGCCGUCAUAAACCUUUAAAUUUAUCCCCUACCAUGAAAGAGUACGCAACUAUUAUCAACGCAGAGCGGAAAUAUUUACACUACAAAUUAAUUCUGCCAACAAAUCUCGAUCAGCUAAUCGAAUGUGUUCAUUUUGGAAACAGCAGCGAAGAAUGAAGAAGUAUGUCGUAUCCUCUAUUGUUAGGCAGGACAAUGACAACCGUCCUUACAUCGCUUUGGAAUUAUUUAACAAAACCUUGGCCUUGCUUGAUAGUUGAGCUAACAAAUGCGUAGUAGGUGGUAAAUUGGCUAAACUUAUUCUUACAGAUCAUCCAGGGUUAAGGAAGUUAAAAUGUUAUGUUCGUACAGCCGAUGGACAAAAUCAAAACGUCACCGCUACCAUUGUCGUUCCGAUUCACUAUAACUCCUUAUCUCAGGAUGUAGAAUUUUUAAUAGUACCCAGUAUUAAACAAGAUAUAAUCUGCGGAAUGGAUUUUUGGAAAUUAUUUGGUCUUCGAAUAUCCAGUACAACGACUAUUUCCGAAAUUUCUGACUCCAAUGAUUUAGGUGACAGAGUCUUGCUUAAUGCAACCGAUCGAAACCGAUUACAAGCUGUUAUCGAAUUCUUUCCAUCGUCUGAAAAAAGUGGUUUAGGAAAAACAACCCUAAUUCAACAUCAUAUUGACACCGGUGCAGCAAAAGCAAUUAAGCAAAGAUAUUACAACUUAUCUUUAUCCAAAGAGCUUCAGUUAUGCCAAGAAGUAGACCGCAUGAUUAGUCUGGGAGUACUAGAAGAAGCGCCCGCGUCCACUUCUCCGGCAGUCUUGGUCGUAAAAUCAGGCAAAGUGAGAAUUUGCUUAGAUUCUAGGAAGCUUAAUUCUGUUACAGUAAAGGAUGCUUAUCCUACUCCUCUUAUUGAAGGUCUACUAAGUCGCUUACCUUCAGUACACUGCAUAUCGAAAAUUGAUUUAAAAGAUGUGUUUUGGCAGAUAUGUCUAGACGAAGAAUCGAAACCAAAAACCGCAAUAACCAUACCCAACCGUCCUUUAUAUCAAUUUACACGAAUGCCUUUCGGACUUAUGGAUAAAGUAAUACCUUAUAGAAUGAAAUCACACGUGAUGGUAUAUUUAGAUGACCUAUUAGUCAUGUCUUCAAGUUUCGAAGAGCAUCUUUCUCAUCUGGCCGAAGUCGCUACGCAACUUCGAAAGGCAGGUCUUACUAUUAAUAUCGCCAAAAGUCAGUUUUGCUUAAAGAAAAUCGACUAUUUAGGUUACAUUGUUGGAGAGGGAACUUUGCAAGUGAAUCCCAAUAAAAUAGCCGCCGUGUCCAACUUUCCUGUUCCAAAAACCAAACGUCAACUUAAGAGAUUUCUCGGGAUGACCGGUUGGUAUCAACGGUUUAUUAACCAAUAUUCAGAACAAACCUUCCACCUAACCGAUUUGUUGCGAGGAAAUGAAUUUCACUGGAAUGAUAACGCCCAAGUUGCUUUUGAACAAUUGAAAAAGGCUCUGACCACUGCUCCAUUAAUAGUACAUCCCAAUUACGAAAAACCGUUUAUAGUGCAGUGUGAUGCCUCGAUCAAUGGUGUUGGUGCGCUUCUAGCUCAAUGUGAUGAAAACGGAAUAGAACGCCCUAUUGCAUAUAUGUCUAAGAAGCUUAAUAGAUCUCAAAGGAAUUACUCUACGACGGAACUUGAAUGCUUAGCAGUAGUUCUAGCUAUUAAAAGAUUUCGAAUGUAUAUUGAAGGUCAUGAAUUUACUAUUGUGACUGAUCAUGCAAGUCUCCGAUGGCUCAUGACGCAGCAAGACCUUCAAGGAAGAUUUGCUCGGUGGGCACUCAAACUUCAAGGAUUUAAUUUUAGCAUAGAACAUCGUCGAGGUAGUGAAAAUGUAGUAGCCGAUGCCAUUUCAAGAUCUUUUGAAUCAGAUGAAGGCCUUGCCACUAUUGAUAUCGAUGUUCUCCCAGAAAUUGAUUUGGAAUCCGAAUUCUUUCAAUCAUCCAGCUAUUCGCAACUUAAAGAAAAGUUAACGCAGUCUCAACUACCGGAUUUUCAAGUAAUAGAUGGUUUUCUUUAUCACAGGGUUGGUUUCUCUUACAGUUCCUCCGACCAUCCGAAAGACUCCUGGAAGCUUGUGGUUCCGGUCGAGCUUAGAGAAGGUGUAAUCAAGGCAGCUCACGAUCAGCCGUCUUCUUCUCAUUGCGGUGUAGCCAAAUGUUUGGCAAAUAUUCGAAGAAAGUUUUACUGGCCGCGUAUGGUUGUAGACGUUCGCAAUUACAUCAAAAACUGUGAGAUUUGUAGGACAUCAAAAUACCCCAUGCAGAAACUUAAACCACCCAUAGGACAACAAAUUGUUAGCGAACGGCAGACUCUAUAUAGACUUUAUUGGUCCCUUCCCAAGGACGAAAAGAGGUAAUAUAGGAAUCUUUAUAGUACUCGAUCAUCUAUCGAAAUUCACGUUUCUUAAACCGGUAAAGAAGUUUACAAGUCAAGUCGUCGUGUCAUACCUGAAAGAGGAAAUUUUUUAUUGUUACGAAACGCCUGAGGUUAUAGUAAGCGAUAAUGGUUCGCAAUUCAAAAGUCAGGAAUUUUCUUCUUUUCUUUCUAAGCAUUGCAUUACCCACACUUGCACCGCAGCCUAUUCGCCGCAGUCCAAUGCCGCAGAAAGAGUUAAUAGGUCUUUUAAUGCUGCAUUGAGAGCCUAUACCCGAUCCGAUCAGAGAGAAUGGGAUAGAUAUCUUAGUAGUAUAACCUGUUCUCUGCGUCGACAUAUGCACCAGUCAAUAGCUGAAUCUCCAUUCUUUGUUGUUUUCGGGCAGCAUAUGAUUUGUCACGGAAAAGAUUAUAAAUUACUCAAAAAUCUAAAUUUGCUUAAUGAAAGUUCCUUACGACUAAACCGACAAGACCAAUUCUCUACGUUACGAUUUGACCUCCAAAAGCAAUUAGACAAAGCUUAUAAAAAGAAUGAGCAAUCCUAUAACCUCCGAUCUAGGCCUCGAUCUUUUCAGGUAGGAGACGAGGUAAUUAAACGAAACUUCGCCCUUAGCAAUGCCGCCGCCCACUUCAAUGCUAAGCUUGCACCGGUAGGAAUAAAGGUCCGUGUCAAGCAAAGACUGGGAAACUCUCUCUAUUUACUUAGGGAUUUAAACGGAAAGGAAUUAGGAACAUAUCAUGCAAAGGAUAUUUGGUAACAGUAGACACCCUUUUUCAGGUUUUAUCUCUGUCGUGAAGACUAAAGAUUAAUCCUGUGCUGUAGGGGUGUGAAAUUAUUAGGAAAAGAUUCCUGUAUUUUUUUUUUAAUAUAAAAUAUCGCUAAUGGUUCCGCAACCUGGUGGCAACCACACAUCCUAGAAAAUACUAAACGAUAAUUUCGUAUUUUCUAACACUGCUUGUCAGAGGGCUUGCACCCGCCAUUUGCGUUUUUUCGUUCUCUUAUUUCUGAUCUUUCGGCCGAAGCACACGCGUUUUAAAUCAAAUCGUAUUUUGCAAAGAAGUGCUAAGUCCACGUGUGUAUAUAUAUUAUUAAGGUUAUUAAGCCCGAGGUGGUGCAUAGGGCUUAAUAACCGCCCAACAAGACAAACCGACUAAUAAGUGAAGCACCACAAAGCUAAUUUCAAACGCCCAAAGUGGCUGGCGAAAUUUAGCUGCCACCGAUCGCAACAUCCAACUUAUAGUUGAAAAACUAAUUAGGAGUGCGCAGCGCCACUUGAUCAAAUCGCCUGGUGCUCGUUUUGGCCCACUCUGGCUGCCAACACGUGGAGCGGGACCACUCGAGCCGAGCCACAUACAGUUUACCAGUGCAAAUUUAAGUUUCGAGCCAAGCAUUCCAACCGUUGUAAGACGUAAGGAAAACUUAAGUUCCUAGAUUGAUACACGUGUUGUUCGCCAUAUUCUCCUGACCAGUUGCGAGUAACCUAACCCCGGACUGAUGGUUAGCCAUCGACACGUCCAACACGAGCGUAUAGCGGAUAAGCAGACACCCUAGACUCUUGUUCUAACUGUUGAAUCUGCCGCCUCGCAGCUAAGGAUUCACUCCCGAUCUCAGCAGCCGAUCUGACUGUUGCAUUGCUUUUGUAGUUGUUAGAAUAAAUUUAAAUUUUAUAGAAAUUAAGCUUAUUAUACGGUUCACUCAGCAUACACGCAUCCUCGUUUACACACACCGUCCACAGGCCUGUCGACUGCACUGGAAACAAAUUUAAAGUAUUAAUGUUGUAAGUACGGCAUAGCCGACCGUCUGUUAACAUCAAUCUGAGCCGAGUAAUAUAACUAUAGAAUAACUAUAAAUUCAAGUUUUGACGCCCGUGCUAUUUUUUUGAAGAUUACCUUUUUUCUUUUCAAAACUUAAUUGUUAACGUAAAUUUUUGAAUGAAGAACCUAAAUGAAGUCAGUUGUACCCAUUAUAUGGUUAAUCUGCCAUGGGCAAGCUAACGUUAAGCAAUUCAUAAGCAUCUGCCAUGGGCAAGCUAACGUUAAGAAAAUCAUAAGCCGCUGCCACGGGCAACUUAUCUUUAAUUGCAUUUUGGUACGUAUUUGAGAAUGAAGUAUAAAAUGAAGUAAAUUUGUUUGCGAAUUGGGACACCUGAAGUAACUGUGCAUCAUUAAUAAGGGCAUUGGCCACAAACGCAAAGCGAGCCUAUGCAAGGUUGGGUGGGUUCUGAAGAGGAAUUAAAUGACAUCUGCAAUUCCUCACAUUUAAUGUAAAAUUAGAUUCUUUGAGCUUUGGUUUAGUUUGUCAAUAGUUCCUACUCUGUCUACUAUUUAAGUUUAUGUGACGGCGCGGUUCUCUAGGUAGCAAAACCCCACUCCCAUGUUCCCUGAGCACAGCCGACUGGCAGAGUACGCUGCCAGAUAGCCGCACACAUGGUCGUGUUCGUUACAUAUUCUUUGGCGCCCAACGUCGGGGCGAUCAGAAAUCAGGAAAAUACCGUAUCUUGAGAAUAUAAUAGAGUUAAUUUUUCGUGUCGCUACCCAAUGCAAUAUUCUAAAGAAAAAUCCAAUUUUUUUUUGUAUAGUUUCCUAAUUUGAGCCUUAAUGUGAUAGUUUGGAAUUCAGACAUCGCGCGUUCUUGCAGGUGCUGAACCUAGAUUAUGUUAUCGCUCAAUCCUAAUUCCCAUAUCAACAAUAAAUGAAUUGCUUCGGUAUGUGAGAUUUGGGGAAAAGCUCGAAUUCGCACCAGGCAACAUUAUUCUUUUAAUAAUCACAUUUGAUUCACCUAAGAAAAGUCAUUUGAGAUUUACUUUGUUGGAAAUUUCUAGCAAGUACUCAUGAUUAUAUUUUUAGAGAUCAAACAUUAAGUCUUACUGCUUUGAGAUUUGUUUAGCUAAAUAGUUUUUGGAAAGACACUCAGCAGUAAUGCACUUGCUUUCCUAACAUUAAAAGACUUUUGCCCAACAGAAACCCUAAUUUUAUAUUAAUAUUUAUUCGAUGCACGGUAACUAAAGGAUAGUCUCAAUUUUAAAUCAGAGUUUUUAUAUUUACAAUAUUUGAGAAAAUAUUUUAAUACUACAACAUGUCAGUUCAGCCUAAUCGAGACGAGGUUGCAGUCACCGAUAGUGGGGAUGAACGUUCUCUUUGUAUUAUUUGCAUAGUAUCAUUAUGGUAAUAGAUACUGAACUUGCAGAAACCCCUUGUAGACAUAAAUUUCACAGAACAUGCGUGGUACUGUGGUUAGGAACUAAUGAAACUUGUCCGCUUUGCCGAAGUGCUUGUACCCUGGUACAACUGAUAACCUUUCCUGCUGCUCAACCGAAUAGGUCUACUAAUGAUACUAAUAGGGAAGUUCGAGGUGCUUCUGCCAAUCAAGCUACGGGAGCCGUUAACCGAACACAAGAGCGAAUUCCAAUCAGAACUUAACGAAUCAGAGAGCACAGUCUAGCUUGAGAAGCAUUUCCGAAACUCGAGUACAGCAGUUAAUCACCGACUCCUUAGAAACCUUUCAAGUUAGCAUGGUUGCAGCAGUAGCGGAUGAGAUCAGUAAUACGAUGCGAAACCUUCAGUUGACUAAUAAUUCCCAAAAUCCGCGAAAUCACAUCCUUGUAGAAAAUCCUGGAAACUUAAAUCGAUCCAAUGCAAGCAGAGUUGAUAGUAAUCAAGGCUCUAGUAUACGAUUGCCUUAAGGUGAUCCUGUGACACAAGCCUUAUAUCGUCCUGACAAAGUUUCAAGCGUUAUUUCUAAUUGGAACGUGAAAUUCACUGGCAUGGCAAGUGACAUACCUGUUGAAGACUUUAUCUAUAGGAUAAAUAGUUUGACUAUACAAUGUCUAAACGCAAACUCUAAUUUGCUAUACCAAUUUGCCAACGUACUAUUUGCCGGACCAGCUUUACAAUUUUAUUGGCGUUUUCAGAGAACUUCAAGUGAACCGAAUUGGUUUCACCUGUGUACAAGUCUCCGUGAACGGUAUAGAGAAGCGCACUGACGAAGAGAUUAAAGACUCUUUUCGACUUAGGAAGCAGAAAAGCGCGGAAAAUUUUGACGAUUUUCUAGAUGCUAUCCUAACGAUUGCAGAUGCUUUGCGUGAGCCUAUGUCCGACAGUGAACUAGUUACCAACGUUAAAAAGAACCUUAAACCUGAAUUACGACUAGAAUUAUUACAUGUUUUGACCCCAAACAUUGCCUCCUUAAGAGCAGAGUGCCACAAUCACGAACGAUUUCUCAUUAGCAUGGCAGGUAGGUCGGCAGCCCGUCCUCCUCCAAACCGGCGAUUUGUAAAUGAGCUAGUGCAGGUUGAAGAGUCUAGGGAAGAAGAGAAUUAUCAAACUAUGAGCGACGUAGAAAUAAAUGCGAUGCGCAAUGCUGAGCGUUAUAAAUGUUGGAAUUGUGAGGAAACCGGAAAAAGAUAUCAUGAUUGCCUCAAAGCCAGACGCAUAUUUUGCUAUGGGUGUGGUCCUCCUGACACUUAUAAGCCUAGUUGCUUGAAAUGUAAUCCCCCGUCGGAAAACUCGUAAGAGGAUGUCCAUCAAUUCUGACUGGUGGAUAUCCUAUUUCAAAAUCACCAUCAAUAACAGGUACUAAUAAUCUUCUAAUUUAAGUAACUCUCAACCUGACUCGACAACAUCUAACCCAGAUUUAGACAAACCCAACUGUAUGUUAAUUAAAAACACUACAGAGCCGUCAUAAACCUUUAAAUUUAUCCCCUACCAUGAAAGAGUACGCAACUAUUAUCAACGCAGAGCGGAAAUAUUUACACUACAAAUUAAUUCUGCCAACAAAUCUCGAUCAGCUAAUCGAAUGUGUUCAUUUUGGAAACAGCAGCGAAGAAUGAAGAAGUAUGUCGUAUCCUCUAUUGUUAGGCAGGACAAUGACAACCGUCCUUACAUCGCUUUGGAAUUAUUUAACAAAACCUUGGCCUUGCUUGAUAGUUGAGCUAACAAAUGCGUAGUAGGUGGUAAAUUGGCUAAACUUAUUCUUACAGAUCAUCCAGGGUUAAGGAAGUUAAAAUGUUAUGUUCGUACAGCCGAUGGACAAAAUCAAAACGUCACCGCUACCAUUGUCGUUCCGAUUCACUAUAACUCCUUAUCUCAGGAUGUAGAAUUUUUAAUAGUACCCAGUAUUAAACAAGAUAUAAUCUGCGGAAUGGAUUUUUGGAAAUUAUUUGGUCUUCGAAUAUCCAGUACAACGACUAUUUCCGAAAUUUCUGACUCCAAUGAUUUAGGUGACAGAGUCUUGCUUAAUGCAACCGAUCGAAACCGAUUACAAGCUGUUAUCGAAUUCUUUCCAUCGUCUGAAAAAAGUGGUUUAGGAAAAACAACCCUAAUUCAACAUCAUAUUGACACCGGUGCAGCAAAAGCAAUUAAGCAAAGAUAUUACAACUUAUCUUUAUCCAAAGAGCUUCAGUUAUGCCAAGAAGUAGACCGCAUGAUUAGUCUGGGAGUACUAGAAGAAGCGCCCGCGUCCACUUCUCCGGCAGUCUUGGUCGUAAAAUCAGGCAAAGUGAGAAUUUGCUUAGAUUCUAGGAAGCUUAAUUCUGUUACAGUAAAGGAUGCUUAUCCUACUCCUCUUAUUGAAGGUCUACUAAGUCGCUUACCUUCAGUACACUGCAUAUCGAAAAUUGAUUUAAAAGAUGUGUUUUGGCAGAUAUGUCUAGACGAAGAAUCGAAACCAAAAACCGCAAUAACCAUACCCAACCGUCCUUUAUAUCAAUUUACACGAAUGCCUUUCGGACUUAUGGAUAAAGUAAUACCUUAUAGAAUGAAAUCACACGUGAUGGUAUAUUUAGAUGACCUAUUAGUCAUGUCUUCAAGUUUCGAAGAGCAUCUUUCUCAUCUGGCCGAAGUCGCUACGCAACUUCGAAAGGCAGGUCUUACUAUUAAUAUCGCCAAAAGUCAGUUUUGCUUAAAGAAAAUCGACUAUUUAGGUUACAUUGUUGGAGAGGGAACUUUGCAAGUGAAUCCCAAUAAAAUAGCCGCCGUGUCCAACUUUCCUGUUCCAAAAACCAAACGUCAACUUAAGAGAUUUCUCGGGAUGACCGGUUGGUAUCAACGGUUUAUUAACCAAUAUUCGGAACAAACCUUCCACCUAACCGAUUUGUUGCGAGGAAAUGAAUUUCACUGGAAUGAUAACGCCCAAGUUGCUUUUGAACAAUUGAAAAAGGCUCUGACCACUGCUCCAUUAAUAGUACAUCCCAAUUACGAAAAACCGUUUAUAGUGCAGUGUGAUGCCUCGAUCAAUGGUGUUGGUGCGCUUCUAGCUCAAUGUGAUGAAAACGGAAUAGAACGCCCUAUUGCAUAUAUGUCUAAGAAGCUUAAUAGAUCUCAAAGGAAUUACUCUACGACGGAACUUGAAUGCUUAGCAGCAGUUCUAGCUAUUAAAAGAUUUCGAAUGUAUAUUGAAGGUCAUGAAUUAACUAUUGUGACUGAUCAUGCAAGUCUCCGAUGGCUCAUGACGCAGCAAGACCUUCAAGGAAGAUUUGCUCGGUGGGCACUCAAACUUCAAGGAUUUAAUUUUAGCAUAGAACAUCGUCGAGGUAGUGAAAAUGUAGUAGCCGAUGCCAUUUCAAGAUCUUUUGAAUCAGAUGAAGGCCUUGCCACUAUUGAUAUCGAUGUUCUCCCAGAAAUUGAUUUGGAAUCCGAAUUCUUUCAAUCAUCCAGCUAUUCGCAACUUAAAGAAAAGUUAACGCAGUCUCAACUACCGGAUUUUCAAGUAAUAGAUGGUUUUCUUUAUCACAGGGUUGGUUUCUCUUACAGUUCCUCCGACCAUCCGAAAGACUCCUGGAAGCUUGUGGUUCCGGUCGAGCUUAGAGAAGGUGUAAUCAAGGCAGCUCACGAUCAGCCGUCUUCUUCUCAUUGCGGUGUAGCCAAAUGUUUGGCAAAUAUUCGAAGAAAGUUUUACUGGCCGCGUAUGGUUGUAGACGUUCGCAAUUACAUCAAAAACUGUGAGAUUUGUAGGACAUCAAAAUACCCCAUGCAGAAACUUAAACCACCCAUAGGACAACAAAUUGUUAGCGAACGGCAGACUCUAUAUAGACUUUAUUGGUCCCUUCCCAAGGACGAAAAGAGGUAAUAUAGGAAUCUUUAUAGUACUCGAUCAUCUAUCGAAAUUCACGUUUCUUAAACCGGUAAAGAAGUUUACAAGUCAAGUCGUCGUGUCAUACCUGAAAGAGGAAAUUUUUUAUUGUUACGAAACGCCUGAGGUUAUAGUAAGCGAUAAUGGUUCGCAAUUCAAAAGUCAGGAAUUUUCUUCUUUUCUUUCUAAGCAUUGCAUUACCCACACUUGCACCGCAGCCUAUUCGCCGCAGUCCAAUGCCGCAGAAAGAGUUAAUAGGUCUUUUAAUGCUGCAUUGAGAGCCUAUACCCGAUCCGAUCAGAGAGAAUGGGAUAGAUAUCUUAGUAGUAUAACCUGUUCUCUGCGUCGACAUAUGCACCAGUCAAUAGCUGAAUCUCCAUUCUUUGUUGUUUUCGGGCAGCAUAUGAUUUGUCACGGAAAAGAUUAUAAAUUACUCAAAAAUCUAAAUUUGCUUAAUGAAAGUUCCUUACGACUAAACCGACAAGACCAAUUCUCUACGUUACGAUUUGACCUCCAAAAGCAAUUAGACAAAGCUUAUAAAAAGAAUGAGCAAUCCUAUAACCUCCGAUCUAGGCCUCGAUCUUUUCAGGUAGGAGACGAGGUAAUUAAACGAAACUUCGCCCUUAGCAAUGCCGCCGCCCACUUCAAUGCUAAGCUUGCACCGGUAGGAAUAAAGGUCCGUGUCAAGCAAAGACUGGGAAACUCUCUCUAUUUACUUAGGGAUUUAAACGGAAAGGAAUUAGGAACAUAUCAUGCAAAGGAUAUUUGGUAACAGUAGACACCCUUUUUCAGGUUUUAUCUCUGUCGUGAAGACUAAAGAUUAAUCCUGUGCUGUAGGGGUGUGAAAUUAUUAGGAAAAGAUUCCUGUAUUUUUUUUUUAAUAUAAAAUAUCGCUAAUGGUUCCGCAACCUGGUGGCAACCACACAUCCUAGAAAAUACUAAACGAUAAUUUCGUAUUUUCUAACACUGCUUGUCAGAGGGCUUGCACCCGCCAUUUGCGUUUUUUCGUUCUCUUAUUUCUGAUCUUUCGGCCGAAGCACACGCGUUUUAAAUCAAAUCGUAUUUUGCAAAGAAGUGCUAAGUCCACGUGUGUAUAUAUAUUAUUAAGGUUAUUAAGCCCGAGGUGGUGCAUAGGGCUUAAUAACCGCCCAACAAGACAAACCGACUAAUAAGUGAAGCACCACAAAGCUAAUUUCAAACGCCCAAAGUGGCUGGCGAAAUUUAGCUGCCACCGAUCGCAACAUCCAACUUAUAGUUGAAAAACUAAUUAGGAGUGCGCAGCGCCACUUGAUCAAAUCGCCUGGUGCUCGUUUUGGCCCACUCUGGCUGCCAACACGUGGAGCGGGACCACUCGAGCCGAGCCACAUACAGUUUACCAGUGCAAAUUUAAGUUUCGAGCCAAGCAUUCCAACCGUUGUAAGACGUAAGGAAAACUUAAGUUCCUAGAUUGAUACACGUGUUGUUCGCCAUAUUCUCCUGACCAGUUGCGAGUAACCUAACCCCGGACUGAUGGUUAGCCAUCGACACGUCCAACACGAGCGUAUAGCGGAUAAGCAGACACCCUAGACUCUUGUUCUAACUGUUGAAUCUGCCGCCUCGCAGCUAAGGAUUCACUCCCGAUCUCAGCAGCCGAUCUGACUGUUGCAUUGCUUUUGUAGUUGUUAGAAUAAAUUUAAAUUUUAUAGAAAUUAAGCUUAUUAUACGGUUCACUCAGCAUACACGCAUCCUCGUUUACACACACCGUCCACAGGCCUGUCGACUGCACUGGAAACAAAUUUAAAGUAUUAAUGUUUUCACUCAGCAUACACACAUCCUCGUUUACACACACCGUCCACAGGCCUGUCGACUGCACUGAAAACAGAUUUAAAGUAUUAAUGUUAACACACCAAACCCGGCUUCCAUUAAAGACUGGGUCACCCCAAGUUCAAUUGGACUUUUUAUCGGGCUUUCCGAUCUGCCUGAUGCUCUCCUCCAAAUUCGGAUCAGCAGAAAAUCUAACUGCACAGACCGCCUUAGCGGACAUCAUGCGCUGCGUUCAGCAGAACAUUAUGAUAUCUGAUCACUGAUAAAAUUUUUACGAUAGAUUUGCUGAACGCACAUGUUUACUAAUCAUGAUGCAAAAAUGCAUAUUCAGUUUUGCGGACAUGUGCUCUGUGGUAUUUGGGUAUAAAAUAGUACUUACGGUAUUUAUACUGUAAAUUAAAUGUUUACCAGUGUCAAAACAGUAUUCUCCUUGGUGUACGGAUUAUAAAAAUUAAUUCUCUCAAAUGUGGAGCUCUAAAUAGUGAAAUCCAAACAUUUUAAAAGAAAAAAAAUAUCGUUCUAAUUCAUGCCCUUAUUUGACGCGACGCCAAAGAAACAAUAUG